rnacentral:rRNA from 1 species
AUGGUAACAUGUUCAGCCGAGUGAUACUAAUUUUCCGUGAGGCUUGAUCAAUAUU